CAUGGUGGGACUCUUGGGGAGGGUUCUGUGCAGGGCCAGGAGCUGGACUUGGAUGAUCCUUGAGGGUCCCUUCCAGCUCAGCAUAUUCUGUGAUUCUGUACAGCUUCAGGUUUUGGUUAAUACAAUUACAUAGCCACUGUGCAUGUCAUACCACCCAGUGGCUCUGCAAAAGAGCAGGGGUAACAGAAUGGUAUGAGACUCCUGUACCCCUCAGACUGAGGGAAGAGGGCAGUUGAGUUUGGGGACCCACAGCAUGUGUGGAGUCAGAAGGGAGGAGAUGCAUUGCUCCCUUCUCUCCGAGAUUUCUCCAGUCCUUCCUAAGAACUGGUAAAGUGAUAAAGUUAGGCCUGCUGCUGCUCUCUGCUUCCUGAAAUAAGGGCUGGGUACAGAGAGUGAGCUGAGAAGGGAUUCAGAUAAGCCAAAUUCAGCCCUGCAGCCAAUUGGGCUAAGGGAUGCUUGGUAGCCCAGUGCAGCAUUGCUGAACUAGCUGCAGCAGCCUGACGUUUACCUAGCUAGGGAAGAUCUUCUAUGCCUAAGAGAAGCAGAGACAUUUUAUUUCUGCUUUUGAUUUAUUUAAAAAUUAAAAUAUAACAAAUAUACUACACUGUAAUUGUCAGAGUAGAGAUUGUCUGUGGCUUUCCAAUAAUGUGAAAUCUGAGUAUUGAAAUGGCAAAAAACAAAAAAAAAAGGAAGCAGGAAGGUUUGGGGUUUUUAAAUUUAAAACGUGGUUAUGUCAUCAGUGAUCUUGUGAGCUCCUCUAACUUCCUCUAAGAAAGAAGCUAAUGCCAUCAUUGAAGAUGAUAGAAAAUGCUACUAGGAAAUGUAAUAAGAAAAUGCAGGAGGGCAGAGCAAAGUAAGCUUAUGUAUUUGUUGAGGUUCAAGAGGAAGCUCAGACGGAAGUCUGUUAGUGUUUAUAACAGUGUAAAUUUAGAUAAAUCAGCAACAAUCAAAGAAAAAAGCAUCUAUUCUGUAAUCCAACUCAAUGCUAAUGUAACUUGUGUUUUCCUAAAUCCUGCCAAGGAUGACUCUAAUCUGAAGACUUUAAACCUCUCCCCUGUAGAGUGAGCUCUGUUGUCCCAUUAGCAGAAAGGCAGUUCUCUCACAGCCCAGAAACACUUACACUACACCAACAGCCAGCACCUCCAUCCCACUGCCUGGCAAUUAACAGUAACUGCCACAGUAAAAUUAUUCCUAUGGUAAUGUGUUUGGGGUCUCACAGCUUUGAGUUCUAGAACUAUCUCUAUACUAAAAUGUGUGGGAAAUAAUAGUUUUUAAUGGCAGAAACUGUGAAUAUUUUUCUGCUUUCUCUCAUUGUCACAGGCUUAUUAUUACUGAAUUGGAGAUGCUGAUUAACAGCAAGCUUUCGGCACUCAACAAGUUAAGCCAUUGUGUUGGCAUAAUUAGGGAACUAAUCCUUUCACAGUUCACUCAAGCGAAGAAAUGAACUAGAAAAUUUAAGACCUAUUUUUAAUGAGGGAUUAUUUUCCCCACCAAAGUAACCCCUCUGACAGCUAUUGUAACAAAAUACUUGCAAUUCUCCUGCACUUCCUAAGGCAACACUUUCAUGCACAGAAUAUAGUUUUUGGACUGAGCAUCUAUCUGCCUUUUUAUUCACUUCAGUCACAUGUGCAAAUCCAUACUGACAUAUGCAAAUGAAAAUGCUGAGUGUUCAAUCACUGCACCUACUUUAUAAAUAUGUCCCAUCAAGUUUUCUAAAGAUAAUUUUGCAAAUUCAGAAUUUCUGAAUAAUUUCUGCAAAUCAUUCCCAAGAAACAUUACUGUGACUAUACGGAAGAAAGACAAAUGCCAGAAUGUAUAAUUCACUUGAAAAUUAAUCUUGUAUAUGCUUGUGCCAGAUUAUUUAACUUUCAUGAGGAAAAUGUUCGUAGGCAAAAAGAUAUUGAUUCUGAGAAAUUCCUGGGUUCCUGGAACCUCUGGGAACCAGUUGAACUCCAUGCCUGUCACUACUGGUUAUUAAUGAGGAAGUCUUCUCUGGGCUUGUUAUGCUGUAAUUGGGGGUGUCCAACUGGAAUGGUAGUCAGCAGUCCACAAUUUAUUUUUUCAGCUGUCUAAUGAGUGCAGCAGAUUUGAAAAUUGGUGUUAGUCUCUUGCUUUGGGCCUUCACCACAAGCUUUACAAAAUUUGUCCAAAGCAAUCAUAGCAUAACGAGGCACCUGCAGCACAUCAUUCAUUUAGUGAGCCAUCCCUAUGCCUGUAUGCUUUAAACAGCAGAUGAAAACCAUUUUGGUUUUACUGUAAACUUCUGGAAACAAAGAACUUGUACACUGCGUUCUGUAAAGAGACAUUUUCUCUGGGCAGUUUUUGGUAUGCAAAUGUUGAUUGUCAGGCUUUGUUACUUUAGCUACAUAGACAAUUUAAUGCAGUUUCAGGCUUUAUAUGACUGUGAAAAUUGCCUCACAAAAUUUACUAAAGCUUUAGCACAGAAAUCGUCUGCUUUUCAAUAGCUUCACUCUAAUUAUACCUAGUAGAAAAACGAAGAGAAAACACACAAGCCUAGCUCAUGAAACAAGUGGGUGAACAGGAAAAAACACCAGACUAAAAGGUCAUUACAGGAUAUAGAGGUUGAUUUUCUAAGGAGAGAUAACUGUUGUUUGAGCUGAACAACAACAAAAAAGUUACAUGCAAUUGCUGAGCUGCUGCAAAAAUUUAUUUCAACCAUGCAGCUCAAAGAGAAAAUAUUCAAAUACAUCCUGAAAACUUCAAGCUGAUCUCAGCACAGUUUCUGCAAUACUCCUCAGGUUCUCAGAAGAAUUGAGCUGACUACGGAAAUGUUCUGGGAAAACCUGAUCCUCUGUCCAGGCAGAUUUCACACAUUAUUUAUUAGCUGCUGGACUUUGCUGUAUGCAGAAGAGCAUGUAGGCAUUUCUGGUGGUCAAAUCAGGCUGCUCCAACUUCUGGCCAUGAGGAAUGGCCAAGGCUGUAACAAGUAUUUGAACUCCCUAUACCUCUGCUCUGCUUAAAGGAAAAUUUAUUCUAGUUUCUUUUGCUGUAUUUCUUGUCGGUGGUGGUUGAUUUUUCCUUUGUCCUUCCUUCACUGUCUUCAGUCCUCUUACCUAUGGGUUUUUUUAUGUUUAUCCUCUUGCUGGAUGGUCCGAUCACUCAGCCUUCAAGGAAAAGUAUUGAUCCAUUUAAAGCUGAAGCAGCUGCCCAGGCAGGAGCUACAGAGGACUGUUCAUGGGUUUUUUUGGUACUGUGGUGAAAUGCCCCUACUUUACAUCUUGUUUUGAGAAAAAGUCAUACGUUGUGGUUUUACUGGGCGGAGAUUUUUAUUAGUGAUUUCUCCUCUAACCUACCAUUGGGAAAUACCCUCUGAAAACACUGCAAGACUACUGGCAAAGCAGGAAAAAACGUUUACUAAAUUUUCUAAUAUUUUAAGUAUUUGAAAUUGUUGUCACAGCUGCCUCCAUGUGAGUUCAGAGGAAGUCAUACAGCAUUCAACUCUAAAAAUCACUGUGCAGCUGGGGACCUCCCUGCAGCUCUAGUUGGAGUGCUGCUGAUAUACUCUGAGCUUCUGCAGUCUUUGAACUUCUGUUGGCCAACCCUGUUGCCUUUCUAGCCAUCCUGGACAAACUUAACGUGGUUAGUUGUACAUAUUCAGACCAAUUGCAGGAGCCCGGCUGAUCAGCAUAUUCACAGCAAAUGUGACAUGUUUGAAAGAUGCUGAGACUUUGGGACUAAUCUUUUUGGCUGUGUCUUUUUGGUUGCUGAUGUUGGCUAGGCUGUGUGGGGCCUCUUACAUCUGGCAUGUGCAAAGCUGUCAGUGCCCUUGUUGCGACAAAAAAAAGAGUAAGAACAUGGCUAUGGAUGUCCCUUUGGCAAUGAUAAAUGACUGAAAAUAAAAGGUGGGAAAAGCUGGGCUCACUGA